rnacentral:rRNA from 1 species
CUACCGGGAGGCAGCAGUGGGGAAUUUUGAACAAUUGGGGCUAGCCUGAUCCAGCAAUGCCGCGUGAGUGAUGAAGCCUCGGAUGUAAAGCUCUUUGUCAGGGAAGAAAAGGUCGUGGCUAAUAUCACGGCUCAUGACGGUACCUGAAGAAUAAGCACCGGCUAACUACGUGCCAGCAGCCGCGGUAAUACGUAGGGUGCAAGCGUUAAUCGGAGUUACUGGGCGUAAAGCGUGCGCAGGCGGUUUUGUAAGUCUGUUGUGAAAUCCCCGGGCUUAACCUGGGAAUGGCAAUGGAGACUGCAAGGCUAGAGUUUGGCAGAGGGGGGUAGAAUUCCACGUGUAGCAGUGAAAUGCGUAGAGAUGUGGAGGAACACCGAUGGCGAAGGCAGCCCCCUGGGUCAAGACUGACGCUCAUGCACGAAAGCGUGGGGAGCAAACAGGAUUAGAUACCCUGGUAGUCCACGCCCUAAACGAUGUCUACUAGUUGUUGGGUCUUAAUUGACUUAGUAACGCAGCUAACGCGUGAAGUAGACCGCCUGGGGAGUACGGUCGCAAGAUUAAAACUCAAAGGAAUUGACGGGGACCCGCACAAGCGGUGGAUGAUGUGGAUUAAUUCGAUGCAACGCGAAAAACCUUACCUACCCUUGACAUGUCGGGAACCUUGGAGAGAUUUGAGGGUGCCCGAAAGGGAACCUGAACACAGGUGCUGCAUGGCUGUCGUCAGCUCGUGUCGUGAGAUGUUGGGUUAAGUCCCGCAACGAGCGCAACCCUUGUCAUUAGUUGCUACGAAAGAGCACUCUAAUGAGACUGCCGGUGACAAACCGGAGGAAGGUGGGGAUGACGUCAAGUCCUCAUGGCCCUUAUGGGUAGGGCUUCACACGUCAUACAAUGGUACAUACAGAGGGCCGCCAACCCGCGAGGGGGAGCUAAUCCCAGAAACCCGAUCGUAGUCCGGAUCGCAGUCUGCAACUCGACUGCGUGAAGUCGGAAUCGCUAGUAAUCGCGGAUCAGCAUGUCGCGGUGAAUACGUUCCCGGGUCUUGUACACACCGCCCGUCACACCAUGGGAGUGGGUUUUACCAGAAGUAGUUAGCCUAACCGUAAGGGGGGCGAUACCACGGUAGAUCAGAACGUG